rnacentral:rRNA from 1 species
CCUACCCUUGACAUGUCUGGAAUGCCGAAGAGAUUUGGCAGUGCUCGCAAGAGAACCGGAACACAGGUGCUGCAUGGCUGUCGUCAGCUCGUGUCGUGAGAUGUUGGGUUAAGUCCCGCAACGAGCGCAACCCUUGUCAUUAGUUGCUACGAAAGGGCACUCUAAUGAGACUGCCGGUGACAAACCGGAGGAAGGUGGGGAUGACGUCAAGUCCUCAUGGCCCUUAUGGGUAGGGCUUCACACGUCAUACAAUGGUCGGGACAGAGGGUCGCCAACCCGCGAGGGGGAGCCAAUCCCAGAAACCCGAUCGUAGUCCGGAUUGCAGGCUGCAACUCGCCUGCAUGAAGUCGGAAUCGCUAGUAAUCGCGGAUCAGCAUGUCGCGGUGAAUACGUUCCCGGGUCUUGUACACACCGCCCGUCACACCAUGGGAGUGGGUUUUACCAGAAGUAGUUAGCCUAACCGCAAGGAGGGCGAUUACCACGGUAGGAUUCAUGACUGGGGUGAAGUCGUAACAAGGUAGGCGUAGUGCU